CGCUUUGUGGUUCACUGAUUUGAAGAGCUUGCUCAGAUAUGACGAUGGACAUUGCAAAAAGUGGCGAACGGGUGAGUAACAGGUGGGAAACCUACCUCUUAGCAGGGGAUAACAUUUGGAAACAGAUGCUAAUACCGUAUAACAAUAGCAACCGCAUGGUUGCUACUUAAAAGAUGGUUCUGCUAUCACUAAGAGAUGGUCCCGCGGUGCAUUAGUUAGUUGGUGAGGUAAUGGCUCACCAAGACGAUGAUGCAUAGCCGAGUUGAGAGACUGAUCGGCCACAAUGGGACUGAGACACGGCCCAUACUCCUACGGGAGGCAGCAGUAGGGAAUCUUCCACAAUGGGCGAAAGCCUGAUGGAGCAACGCCGCGUGUGUGAUGAAGGGUUUCGGCUCGUAAAACACUGUUGUAAGAGAAGAAUGACAUUGAGAGUAACUGUUCAAUGUGUGACGGUAUCUUACCAGAAAGGAACGGCUAACUAC
rnacentral:rRNA from 1 species